CCUACGGGGGGCAGCAGUGGGGGAUAUUGCACAAUGGGGGGAACCCUGAUGCAGCGACGCCGCGUGGGUGAAGAAGCGCCUCGGCGCGUAAAGCCCUGUCAGCAGGGAAGAAAAUGCCGGUACCUGAAGAAGACGCCCCGGCUAACUACGUGCCAGCAGCCGCGGUAAGACGGAGGGGGCAAGCGUUAUCCGGAUUUACUGGGUGUAAAGGGGGCGCAGACGGCGGUGCAAGCCAGGAGUGAAAGCCCGGGGCGCAACCCCGGGACUGCGCUUGGAACUGCGUGGCUGGAGUGCAGGAGGGGCAGGCGGAAUGCCUGGUGUAGCGGUGAAAUGCGUAGAGAUCAGGAGGAACACCGGUGGCGAAGGCGGCCUGCUGGACUGCAACUGACGUUGAGGCCCGAAAGCGUGGGGAGCAAACAGGAUUAGAUACCCUAGUAGUC
rnacentral:rRNA from 1 species